GACGAACGCUGGCGGCGUGCUUAACACAUGCAAGUCGAACGGAAAGGCCCUGCUUUUGUGGGGUGCUCGAGUGGCGAACGGGUGAGUAACACGUGAGUAACCUGCCCUUGACUUUGGGAUAACUUCAGGAAACUGGGGCUAAUACCGGAUAGGAGCUCCUGCUGCAUGGUGGGGGUUGGAAAGUUUCGGCGGUUGGGGAUGGAUUCGCGGCUUAUCAGCUUGUUGGUGGGGUAGUGGCUUACCAAGGCUUUGACGGGUAGCCGGCCUGAGAGGGUGACCGGCCACAUUGGGACUGAGAUACGGCCCAGACUCCUACGGGAGGCAGCAGUGGGGAAUAUUGCACAAUGGGCGGAAGCCUGAUGCAGCAACGCCGCGUGCGGGAUGACGGCCUUCGGGUUGUAAACCGCUUUCGCCUGUGACGAAGCGUGAGUGACGGUAAUGGGUAAAGAAGCACCGGCUAACUACGUGCCAGCAGCCGCGGUGAUACGUAGGGUGCGAGCGUUGUCCGGAUUUAUUGGGCGUAAAGGGCUCGUAGGUGGUUGAUCGCGUCGGAAGUGUAAUCUUGGGGCUUAACCCUGAGCGUGCUUUCGAUACGGGUUGACUUGAGGAAGGUAGGGGAGAAUGGAAUUCCUGGUGGAGCGGUGGAAUGCGCAGAUAUCAGGAGGAACACCAGUGGCGAAGGCGGUUCUCUGGGCCUUUCCUGACGCUGAGGAGCGAAAGCGUGGGGAGCGAACAGGCUUAGAUACCCUGGUAGUCCACGCUGUAAACGGUGGGUACUAGGUGUGGGGUCCAUUCCACGGGUUCCGUGCCGUAGCUAACGCUUUAAGUACCCCGCCUGGGGAGUACGGCCGCAAGGCUAAAACUCAAAGGAAUUGACGGGGCCCCGCACAAGCGGCGGAGCAUGCGGAUUAAUUCGAUGCAACGCGUAGAACCUUACCUGGGUUUGACAUGGAUCGGGAGUGCUCAGAGAUGGGUGUGCCUCUUUUGGGGUCGGUUCACAGGUGGUGCAUGGCUGUCGUCAGCUCGUGUCGUGAGAUGUUGGGUUAAGUCCCGCAACGAGCGCAACCCUUGUUCACUGUCGCCAGCACGUUAUGGUGGGGACUCAGUGGAGACCGCCGGGGUCAACUCGGAGGAAGGUGGGGAUGACGUCAAGUCAUCAUGCCCCUUAUGUCCAGGGCUUCACGCAUGCUACAAUGGCUGGUACAGAGAGUGGCGAGCCUGUGAGGGUGAGCGAAUCUCGGAAAGCCGGUCUCAGUUCGGAUUGGGGUCUGCAACUCGACCUCAUGAAGUCGGAGUCGCUAGUAAUCGCAGAUCAGCAACGCUGCGGUGAAUACGUUCCCGGG
rnacentral:rRNA from 1 species